rnacentral:rRNA from 1 species
GACGAACGCUGGCGGCGUGCUUAACACAUGCAAGUCGAGCGAUGAAGCACCUUCGGGUGUGAAUUAGCGGCGAACGGGUGAGGAACACGUGAAGAAUCUGCCUUCAACUCUGGGAUAACUCCGGGAAACCGGGGCUAAUACCGGAUAUGAGCCUUGAUCGCAUGAUCGGGGCUGGAAAGUUUUUCGGUUGAAGAUGACUUCGCGGCCUAUCAGCUUGUUGGUGAGGUAAUGGCUCACCAAGGCGACGACGGGUAGCCGGCCUGAGAGGGCGACCGGCCACACUGGGACUGAGACACGGCCCAGACUCCUACGGGAGGCAGCAGUGGGGAAUAUUGGGCAAUGGAGGAAACUCUGACCCAGCGACGCCGCGUGAGGGAUGAAGGCCUUCGGGUUGUAAACCUCUUUCAGUAGGGAAGAAGCGAAAGUGACGGUACCUACAGAAGAAGCACCGGCUAACUAUGUGCCAGCAGCCGCGGUAAUACAUAGGGUGCAAGCGUUGUCCGGAAUUAUUGGGCGUAAAGAGCUCGUAGGUGGUUCGAUACGUCGGAUGUGAAAAUCAGGGGCUCAACCCCUGACCUGCAUCCGAUACGGUCGAGCUAGAGUUUGGUAGGGGAGACUGGAAUUCCUGGUGUAGCGGUGGAAUGCGCAGAUAUCAGGAGGAACACCGAUGGCGAAGGCAGGUCUCUGGGCCAAUACUGACACUGAGGAGCGAAAGCGUGGGGAGCGAACAGGAUUAGAUACCCUGGUAGUCCACGCCGUAAACGGUGGGCGCUAGUUGUGCGAACCUUCCACGGUUUGUGCGACGCAGCUAACGCAUUAAGCGCCCCGCCUGGGGAGUACGAUCGCAAGAUUAAAACUUAAAUGAAUUGACGG